CAAUUUAAAGGGACCCACACUUGGCUUUCAUAAUUACAAAAGGAAUCCUAAAGCAAUUCUAAGAGUGAUCACGUGUGAUAACAAAUCAAGUAAAAGGCCAAGCCUUUUGGCUUUAGGAUUUAAGAGGUGGGGUCCAUUUUAGAUAUUAUAAAAGAGAGUUUUUGCUUUUGGAGGGAGUGGCUGGACGGAAAGAAGAAGAGAGAGCCACCAGAAGGGAGAACUGCAGACGUAAGGAUUCAAGACAGAGAAGAAAAUCUGCAGCAAUUCGGCUUCCCCAUGGCUGAAUUUAUUUAUUUUGUUGCUCCCAAUUCAAGUAUGUCUAGCUAAUUUUCUUAUACUGAGGUUAAGGAUGAAACCCUAUUCAAUGAAAUAAUUAUAUCUUUUUAUUUAAUUAAUUCCCUAUAUAUGUUCUUUGAUGAUUAUGGUUUUUAUUUCAC
rnacentral:lncRNA from 1 species